AUUGAACGCUGGCGGCAUGCCUAACACAUGCAAGUCGAACGGUAACAGGCCCUUCGGGGUGCUGACGAGUGGCGGAUGGGUGAGUAAUACUUAGGAAUCUACCCUGUAGUGGGGGACGAACCCGGGGAAACGUACGGGCGUAAUAACCGCAUACGCUCUACGGAGGAAAGACGGGGACCGGCAAGGCCUCGCGCUAUUGGAUGAGCCUAAG
rnacentral:rRNA from 1 species